CCACUCUAAGCUCGAACACCAAGCCUGGAACCUGUACCGUUUGGUGUUCUACCUUACAGUGAG
rnacentral:pre_miRNA from 1 species